CACGAAACGUGUUCGCCACCACAGCAACCAAACUAAAUAUAUUAUAUUUAUUGUAUUUUUAUGAUACAUGAUAAAAACAAUAAAUAUUUGCGUAUUUUUAUCAUCAAUAAAUAUAAUAUAUUUAAUAUAUUUAGUUCGGUUGCUGUGGUGGCGAACAAAUGUUUCGUG